GAUGAGAUGGAGCUGGGAAAAUCACACUGGACAUCCUGAGAAACAUGAAAGAAAACCAUCUGGCUGAUCAGCUAAAGAUUAUUCACUACAGGUAGACCAUGAGAAACAGCUGCAGAUCUUCACUGAAAUGAGCUCAGUCAAUGUUGUUCUUCUGCCACGACUGGACAGGAAUGCAGAAAGGAUACACAACCUGUUCCAA